rnacentral:sRNA from 1 species
GCUCAGCCUAACUCCCAGAACUGGAACUCUAUGUCCAGCCAUGGAAAGCAGGGGGCCCCCAAGAAGCGGAAGGCGCCUCCACCUCCCGCCAGCAUCCCCAUGCCGGAUGAUCGAGAUGCCUAUGAGGAGAUCGUGAGGCUGCGGCAGGAGAGGGGCCGCCUCCUGCAGAAGAUCCGGGGCCUGGAACAGCACAAGGAACGGAGGCAGCAGGAGUCCCCGGAGGCCAGCUCCCUGCACAGCCUGGAGAGACAGGUGCAAGAGCUACAGCAGCUGCUGGUGGAGAGACAAGAGGAGAAGGAGAGCCUGGGACGGGAGGUGGAGAGUUUGCAGAGCCGGCUGUCCCUGCUGGAGAACGAGCGGGAGAAUACUAGCUAUGACGUAACCACCCUGCAGGAUGAGGAGGGUGAGCUGCCUGACCUUCCAGGGGCCGAGGCGCUGCUGUCCAGACAACUCAGCCCGUCGGCCCAGGAACACCUGGCCUCGCUGCAGGAACAGGUGGCUGUGCUCACCAGACAGAACCAGGAACUGAUGGAGAAGGUCCAGAUCCUGGAGAACUUUGAGAAGGAC